GCGAAAAAUGAAUGAAUCAGGGAAGGGAAGGAGUCAAUCAAUCAAUCAUCUCCCUGCAAAAAUGUUCAGAUACUUGUGGCCUCUCUCGUCCUUUCUAGUUCCUUUCCGCCAUUCCAUUUCUGUCCAUUUCUUCUUGUCGCUCUCUCUCUCUCUCUCUCUCUCUCUCUCUUGUGAGACAAAUGAAUUUCUGGACAGUGACACUUGCAGGAAGAAGGAGAAGAAGAAGAAAAGGAAGGUCGGUCAGUUAC
rnacentral:ribozyme from 11 species